rnacentral:lncRNA from 1 species
AAAGUUAGUCUUUUUUAACAAAGGUCUCUUUACAGUGCUCUCUACUUCACACCCUCUCACCUCCUCCCCUCCAGGUGUGCUGCCAGGUCUCACUCCAUCCACUCGAUACAUUAUCACUGUAAGUGCCUGUAGUCCUGUCGGCUGCACUGAGAGUCUUCAUAAUGACAAUGGUGAUGAUAAUGAUAUGAGAUCGAGCCUCAGAACCCCCGAGGAAGCUCCAGAUGUUGUCUCUCCUCCAGCUGCAGUCUCAUCCCCCUCAGCUCUUUAUGUUACCUGGGAACCUCCAGCAAAGCCCAAUGGAGGCAUUACAGAGUACCUCCUCUAUCACAACAACCAAGUGGUCUACAGGGGCAAAGACAGACAACACAACAUCACUGGUAAGGAGGAGAGUGUGUAUGUGUAUGUUUGCGUGUGUGUGUGUGUGUGUGUGUGUGUGUGUGUGUGUGUGUGUGUGUGUGUGUGUGUGUGUGUGUGUGUGUUGCAGUGUAGCUGUGACUGGAGCAAUGGGGCCUCGGUGUAAAGAGAAGGGGAAGAGUGGAGAAAAGCAAAAUGGAGUGGGGGAUUAGCAUUUGAAAGAGGAAAGAGCAUCUCAGUCUU